CUGUGGUCACCUGUGGAUGAAGACAUUAAAUAUACCUGCUGAAAUGCAAUGAUGAUACCAAGAUGGUUAACCAGAGAGUCUAAAGAGACGGGAUCUUAGGUUCUUGAAGAAGUUUCCCUCCAUCAAGAUAGCUGCCAUUCUAAUGAUCCUAAGAAGUCAUUCAGAUAGAUUCUGCCAGUAAACCAGGUGAAAAAUCAAGGCCUCUGCUUUUUUAGGAGAGGGGCAACAUUCUCUGGAAUUGUGGAUUCCAGAUCAACAGUCAUGGAGUAAAUGAAGCCGAACUGGCUUCUUCAGACAACAAACGGGAUUGAUCCAGCUGCAUGCAUCUGAGGAAGGUAAUGACACUGACGGAAGUGGAAGCCUGCAAAGCCAGAGAGAGACCUUCAGCUGGGGUCCAUGUAAAGAGUGUGGGAAGGCUUUCUGGAGCCUGGGGGAUACCUUUCCCCCCUGGCUAACAUCCUUUGCUCUGUCACCCUUAGCCUGAGAUUUUACCCAAGUCAGCAUUCACUUAGGUGAUUAAGUGCAAGUAUUUCCAGGAAGCCUAAGCAAAAUAUGACAGCCAUUUCAACUUCAAGGAAGUCCCCCUCUUAGUAAUUAAUCAAAAAAAAAAAAAAACCCAAAAAAACAAAACAAAAAAAAACCGAGGUAAAGUUUUUG